rnacentral:tRNA from 1 species
AAAAGAGAAAGGGAAAGAGAAGGAAAAGAGAAAGGGAAAGAGAUGGAAAAGAGAAAGGGAAAGAGAUGGAAAAGAGAAAGGGAAAGAGAAGGAAAAGAGAAAGGGAAAGAGAUGGAAAAGAGAAAGGGAAAGAGAUGGAAAAGAGAAAGGGAAAGAGAAGGAAAAGAGAAAGGGAAAGAGAUGGAAAAGAGAAAGGGAAAGAGAUGGAAAAGAGAAAGGGAAAGAGAAGGAAAAGAGAAAGAAAAGGAAAAAAAGAAAGGGAAAGGGAUGGAAAAGAGAAAGGGAAAGGGAUGGAAAAGAGGAAGGGAAAGAGAAAGAAAAGAGAAAGGGAAAAGGAUGGAAAAGAGAAAGGGAAAGAGAAGGAAAAGAGAAAGAAAAGGAAAAAAAGAAAGGGAAAGGGAUGGAAAAGGGAAAGGGAUGGAAAAGAGAAAGAGAAAGAGAAAGAAAAGGAAAAGAGAAAGAGAAAGAAAAGGAAAAGAGAAAGGGAGAGAAAAGGAAAAGAGAAAGGGAAAGAGAAGGAAAAGAGAAAGAAAAGGAAAAGAAGAAAGGGAAAGGGAUGGAAAAGAGAAAGGGAAAGGGAUGGAAAAGAGAAAGAGAAAGAGAAAGAAAAGGAAAAGAGAAAGGGAAAGGGAUGGAAAAGAGAAAGAGAAAGAGAAAGAAAAGGAAAAGAGAAAGGGAAAGGGAUGGAAAAGAGAAAGAGAAAGAGAAAGAAAAGGAAAAGAGAAAGGGAAAGAGAAGGAAAAGAGAAAGGGAAAGAGAAGGAAAAGAGAAAGGGAAAGAGAUGGAAAAGAGAAAGGGAAAGAGAUGGAAAAGAGAAAGGGAAAGAGAAAGAAAAGGAAAAGAGAAAGGGAAAAGAAAAGGAAAAGAGAAAGGGAUGGAAAAGAGAAAGGGAAAGGGAUGGAAAAGGAAAAGAGAAAGAAAAAGAAAAGAGAAGGAAAAGAGAUGGAACAGAGGCGGCCGCCAGGGGGCGCCAAGGGCAGCGCGCCUCACGCAUGCGCAGAGCCCGCCCCGGAGGAGCUGCACUGCCCGACCGGCAACACCGCGGGCACCGGGAGCACCGGGAGCACCGCGAGUACCGGGAGCACCGCGAGUAUCGGGAGCACCGAAACUACCGGAACGCCGGUGCCAGCCCCAGCAACCCGGAAGCAGCGCCGCUUCAGCCGCUGCAUUGCGCAGGCGCGGGGACAGAACCCGCCAAUGGCAGCCGGCGGCGCGGCCGUGACGUCACAGGGGCUGUGAGGGAGCCCCGCUGGGGAAGAGGCGCUGAGGGAGCCGGGAGCGGGUUUGGGGAGCGGUGCCAGCUUUGUCUAUCAGCAGAUGCACAGCUUGUUUGUAAAGAAAAUUCAACACUGCUCUCACCUCCUUUCCCCUUCACUGCCUGAUCUCCUGGAGUUUCUGUGGGACAGGACAUGAAACAGCAGAGAAGGGGAUGGCAGAGACUGGAGCAGCAGGGGAGUUCCCAUCACCCUGUGACAUCCACAUGUUCCCAGGGAAUGCCACCCUGGGGCAGUGGAAAGGGUAGAACUGGAUGAGCUUUAAGGUCCUUCCAGCCCAAACCAGUCUGGGAUUCUUUAAUUGAUGAUUUUGUGCUCAGCACUCAUCCCACCUCACCUCCUUCGCAGGAUUUUGCUGGUUUUUGGGGCAUUGGGUUUGAAUAACAUUUGUUGAUCCCCUGUAGUCAGGCCAAGGAGACAAAGGAAGGCCUGGCUUGUGACUUCUCCUGAUUUAAAAUUAAAAUCAAAAUCCAGAGCUCUAAAGGUGCCUCAUUUCCCUUGGCACGGAUAGGUGGCAAUGAUAACCCUUAAACACCUUCCAGCUCAUUUUGUGUCUCUCUGUUCCAUUAAAGAGGUGAAAACUUUCAGUGUGUGAAGAAAACCCUGCAGAGGAGGCAGGGAGAGCCUUGGAGGGAAGAGUUUGGGCAUUUGCUGAGCCCUGAGCACAACUUUGAUCAGGGGGGCAGCGAACCCCAGGCUGGUUUUUAGACACAUUCCACACAAAAUGUUUCUGGCAGCUCAGUUUGGGGUUUUUCUCCUUGGCAGUAACGAUUCUGUGGGGUCACUGAAGCCAAUUAAACAAUACCUGGGGAUGGAGCUAUUUUUAGUCUUAAAAAAAAAAUCAGGAUAUUUUUGGGAGUGAGCACAACUUCCUGCCUGCUUUCCUGUGCUGCUGCUAAAGAUGAUGGGAGUGCUGGUGCUUUUAUCUUUUUAUCUCUGUGCAAACAGCCCCAAAUCCCAAAUUCUCUCAAGGGAGGAGUGGAGCUCCACCUCUUUCAUCAUGAAAACAGGAAUUUGAGGUGCUCAGUCUGGGGUAAGGAGUGGAGUUUCAUCAUAAAAACAGGAAUUUGAGGUGCUCAGUCUGGGGUUGCAGUUGGCUCCUGGGUUGCCUCUGCACUUUUUACAGCUUUGCAGUUGGCUCCUGGCUUGCCUCUGCACUUUUUACAGCUUUUGGGUCUCUGAGUGAAAAUUUGGCCAGUAAAACUUCAAGAAAUGAACAGCUUGAGUGUAGAGGAUGUGUGAGCAGGAGGCUGGUGCUGAACAAGGACAGCUCAGAGCAGCUGCUGGCAGCAAGUGAAUGUUGUCAUUGUGCAGCUCAGAAACUCAGCUCCAAAACUGGAGACAAGUUGUUCUCCUAGAACACCAGGGAAUUCGACUUUUAUCAGAAUAUUCUGACUUUGGACCAUUUUCUUCCAAAAUCUGCUUUAAAAAUAGAGGAGAGGUCCAGAAGGAAAGGGGGUGGGAGAGAAAAAAAAUAAAAUUAUUCUCUUCCCACUUCACAGCUAAUCAGAUUUGGAUUUUUUUUCCCCUGUUUAAUUGGGAUAUCUGAGAGUUCAGCAAGAGGAACAAAGAGGUGAAAUGGCUCCAAAUUCUCGUGGACUUUGGCCCAGUUUUAGGAGACACAGAAUCAUUGUCACGGCUGCUCCUGGGAUUUGUUUUGUGUCAAUAUAAAAUGAACACACCCAGAGUCACAACUCUGCAAUUUGGGGUUCAGGCUCUGACAAGGAUAUUUAAAAUGUAAACAGAAAAUAUUUGUUAAAUAACAAAAGGGGGGCAUUUCCCUGACACCUUUCCCAGUUUAUAGAUGAGGAAAUUAAACCCAUUUUUAUGUCGUUGUUGGCUUUAAAAGUGACAAGGGUGACAAGGCUCGAGGUGGGGGGACACGAGGUGACAAGGCUCUGAGAGGGGACACAGAAAUGUAUAAACGUAUAUUUUAUAUAUGAAUUUCUACAUGUGUAUCUUCAGCACAACCCUGUUUUUGCCUUGAACAAGUCAGGGCGGUUUAAAACGCGCCGUGGGGCACAAGCGGGAGUUUUCUUGCUUGCAUUAGAGAAGAAGCCAAUUAACAGCGUGUUAAUUAGCUGCGGGCGCUGAGCUCCAAUGCACCUGAAAAUUUAAACAGGUGGGAGGCUGCAAAGUGGCAAAGCGCUUCAGGAGGCUCCUGAAAAUUUACUGGGGAGGUGCAAAAAAACAAGGCCCGAAGGAUUUUUGAGGGAGAACGCGCGGAAAAAAGGGAGAAGAACGCGCGGAUUGUCGUGUCGGGCAGGAAAAGCUGAAACUUCCCAUACCGUCGGGCAGGAAAAGCUGGAACUUCCCAUACCGGGAGUCGAACCCGGGCCGCCUGGGUGAAAACCAGGAAUCCUAACCGCUAGACCAUAUGGGAGGCGCUGGUAGCAGUGGUGCCCGCACGCCUCAAAGCGUUAGUGCCCGCCCCGCUGAUGGAUGGGGCGGUUCCGCCGUUCUAUGGGAGACACCGGGAAACAGCGGGUGAGACACGGGCGAUACCGGGACUCACCGGGAGCCCCCCAGUGAACGCCCCCGGCCUUGCCAGAAAGGCGCUGCCCUCACCCAACAUGGCGGCCGGAGCGGGGGGGGGGGGGGGGGGGGGGGGGGGGGGGGGGGGGGGGGGGGGGGGGGGGGGGGGGGGGGGGGGGGGGGGGGGGGGGGGGGGGGGGGGGGGGGGGGGGGGGGGGGGGGGGGGGGGGGGGGGGGGGGGGGGGGGGGGGGGGGGGGGGGGGGGGGGGGGGGGGGGGGGGGGGGGGGGGGGGGGGGGGGGGGGGGGGGGG